UGUUGACUAAUCUUGCCUGGGUUUGUGUAGGUCUCCAGGGACAAAGGUUGAACAAGUUGGACGAAGGUUUUGACAUAAGUGGGACUUUGUGAUUUAAUUUCUUUUUUUUCUUUUUCUUUCUUUUUUUUUUAAGUGGGGAGGAAGGGGAAACUAGAUGGACUAUGAGAGACUUGAUUUUGGUGCUAAAGUUCCCCAAUUCAUAUGUGACAUCUUAAAAAUGACAACAAAUGAGAGAAAAGCUAAAAAAAAAAAAAAAAAAAAAAGAAGAAAACCAUGUAAGGGGUGAGCAGUAAUGGUAUUCAUUCCACAUACAAUAUCUGUGUAAAACAAUUUCCUGUAGACGUAGCUUUAAUGGAUUUUGCUCUAGAAUACCUUAGGUCUACCUUAGAGCCCUCACGCCAUGCUUUUGUCCCUGGGUUUAAACUUCAUCUAACUUUCAGAAAUUGGAGAGCAAAAAUGUUGCUUUAUCACUGCACAUCAAUAUAAAAAAGCUUAUUUAACUUAUCAAGACGUAUUUAUUGCCAAACUAUGCUUUUUUUUUGUUAAUUUUGUUCAUAUUUAUCGG
rnacentral:lncRNA from 1 species